GACGAACGCUGGCGGCGCGCCUAACACAUGCAAGUCGAACGAGCGAGAGAGAGCUUGCUUUCUCGAGCGAGUGGCGAACGGGUGAGUAACGCGUGAGGAACCUGCCUCAAAGAGGGGGACAACAGUUGGAAACGACUGCUAAUACCGCAUAAGCCCACGACCCGGCCUCGGGUAGAGGGAAAAGGAGCAAGCCGCUUUGAGAUGGCCUCGCGUCCGAUUAGCUAGUUGGUGAGGUAACGGCCCACCAAGGCGACGAUCGGUAGCCGGACUGAGAGGUUGAACGGCCACACUGGGACUGAGACACGGCCCAGACUCCUACGGGAGGAAGCAGUGGGGAAUAUUGCACAAUGGGGGAAACCCUGAUGCAGCGACGCCGCGUGGAGGAAGAAGGUCUUCGGAUUGUAAACUCCUGUUGUUGAGGAAGAUAAUGACGGUACUCAACAAGGAAGUGACGGCUAACUACGUG
rnacentral:rRNA from 1 species